rnacentral:rRNA from 1 species
AGCGAACGCUGGCGGCAGGCUUAACACAUGCAAGUCGAGCGGGCACUUCGGUGUCAGCGGCAGACGGGUGAGUAACACGUGGGAACGUACCCUUUGGUUCGGAAUAACGCUGGGAAACUAGCGCUAAUACCGGAUACGCCCUUUUGGGGUAAGGCUUGCUGCCGCAGGAUGGGCCCGCGGCUGAUUCGCUUGUUGGGGGGGUAAUGGCCUACCAAGGCGACGAUCGGGAGCUGGUCUGGGAGGAUGAUUGGGAAGACUGGGAAGGAGAUACGGCCCAGACUCCUACGGGAGGCAGCCGUGGGGGAGGGUGCAGAAUGGGCUGAAGCCUGAUGCAGCAACGCCGCGUGCGGGAUGACGGCCUUCGGUUUGGAAACCGCUUUCGCCUGUGACGAAGCGUGAGUGACGGUAAUGGGUAAAGAAGCACCGGCUAACUACGUG